rnacentral:rRNA from 1 species
UACAGAGGUGGCGAGCGUUAUUCGGAAUUAUUGGGCGUAAAGGGCGCGUAGGCGGCUUGCAAGUCCCGGGUGAAAUCCCUCGGCUCAACCAAGGAAGUGCAUCCGAAACUGCCGAGCUUGAGUACUUAAGAGGAUCGCGGAAUUCCCGGUGUAGAGGUGAAAUUCGUAGAUAUCGGGAGGAACACCAGUGGCGAAGGCGGCGAUCUGGGAAGAUACUGACGCUGAGGUGCGAAAGCGUGGGGGAGCAAACAGGG